AGUUGAAUGGAAACACAGCCGGCCGCAAAGUUCUAGGUCGGCGGUUCGAAUCCCGGUCC
rnacentral:tRNA from 1 species